rnacentral:lncRNA from 1 species
CUGCCCUGGAAGCGGCCUAGGCUUCCUGGCGUUCCUGCGGGCCGCGGAUGGCGGUGGAUUGAGUGAGAGGCCCCAGCCAGGAGGGCGCUGUGUGGCCGGGUUCCAAGUGAAGCGCAGAGAGAUGGGCACCAGGCGCCCCUUCUGUCCCGGAGAAGGCGUUUGUGAGCAUUUUUUGUCGCUGAUGGCAUCUUCAAAGCUGAACUGAAUGAGUUUCUUACUCGGGAGCUGGCUGAAGAUGGCUACUCUGGAGUUGAGGUGCGAGUUACACCAACCAGGACAGAAAUCAUUAUCUUAGCCACCAGAACACAGAAUGUUCUUGGUGAGAAGGGCCGGCGGAUUCGGGAACUGACUGCUGUAGUUCAGAAGAGGUUUGGCUUUCCAGAGGGCAGUGUAGAGCUUUAUGCUGAAAAGGUGGCCACUAGAGGUCUGUGUGCCAUUGCCCAGGCAGAGUCUCUGCGUUACAAACUCCUAGGAGGGCUUGCUGUGCGGAGGUGUGCUGGGCAUCAAGGUGAAGAUCAUGCUGCCCUGGGACCCAACUGGUAAGAUUGGC